CAGACGAGGAGCUUGCUCCUCUGACGUUAGCGGCGGACGGGUGAGUAACACGUGGAUAACCUACCUAUAAGACUGGGAUAACUUCGGGAAACCGGAGCUAAUACCGGAUAAUAUAUUGAACCGCAUGGUUCAAUAGUGAAAGACGGUUUUGCUGUCACUUAUAGAUGGAUCCGCGCCGCAUUAGCUAAUUGGUAAGGUAACGGCUUACCAAGGCAACGAUGCGUAGCCGACCUGAGAGGGUGAUCGGCCACACUGGAACUGAGACACGGUCCAGACUCCUACGGGAGGCAGCAGUAGGGAAUCUUCCGCAAUGGGCGAAAGCCUGACGGAGCAACGCCGCGUGAGUGAUGAAGGUCUUCGGAUCGUAAAACUCUGUUAUUAGGGAAGAACAAAUGUGUAAGUAACUAUGCACGUCUUGACGGUACCUAAUCAGAAAGCCACGGCUAACUACGUGCCAGCAGCCGCGGUAAUACGUAGGUGGCAAGCGUUAUCCGGAAUUAUUGGGCGUAAAGCGCGCGUAGGCGGUUUUUUAAGUCUGAUGUGAAAGCCCACGGCUCAACCGUGGAGGGUCAUUGGAAACUGGAAAACUUGAGUGCAGAAGAGGAAAGUGGACUUCCAUGUGUAUCGGUGAAAUGCGCAGAGAUAUGGAGGAACACCAGUGGCGAAGGCGACUUUCUGGUCUGUAACUGACGCUGAUGUGCGAAAGCGUGGGGAUCAAACAGUGAUUAGAUAUCCUGGUAGUCCACGCCGUAAACGAUGAGUGCUAAGUGUUAGGGGGUUUCCGC
rnacentral:rRNA from 1 species